UGGGGAAUAUUGGACAAUGGGCGCAAGCCUGAUCCAGCCAUGCCGCGUGAGUGAUGAAGGCCCUAGGGUUGUAAAGCUCUUUCACCGGUGAAUAUAAUGACGGUAACCGGAGAAGAAGCCCCGGCUAACUUCGUGCCAGCAGCCGCGGUAAUACGAAGGAGGCUAGCGUUGUUCGGAUUUACUGUGCGUAAAGCGCACGUAGGCGGACUAUUAAGUCAGGGGUGAAAUCCCGGGGCUCAACCCCGGAACUGCCUUUGAUACUGGUAGUCUUGAGUUCGAGAGAGGUGAGUGGAAUUCCGGGUGUAGAGGUGAAAUUCGUAGAUAUUCGGAGGAACACCAGUGGCGAAGGCGGCUCACUGGCUAGAUACUGACGCUGAGGUGCGAAAGCGUGGGGAGCAAACAGG
rnacentral:rRNA from 1 species